GUAAGGAUCUUUCGUUUAUUUUAGUCGCUCUAUCUCCGCUAGUUUGCAGACUAAGAAAAACCGAGUUUAAAGUUGACGAACUUCUAUACGAUCGUGCGAAGUUAAGAUUUGAAAGAACCACAUAUUCGUUGCUCUCCAGAUGGAGUUAGAACAAUUAUUAAUUAGGCGAAAAUUAACAGUUAAAAUUACGGACGAAUCGAGUCGCUAUGGUUUUCAUUCCUUGUUCGUCAGGAGCCUCGCUAAGGAAGCACGUCUUCGUCGGUGAAGCUUAUAGCAUGGUCGCGAAGAAGCUUAUUUUUCAAUUGGAAUCAUAAAUUAUUAAGCAAUAACAUAGAAAUUUGCUUCAUCCCACGCUCAAUCGCCAAGGACGUGUCGUAAACUCGGUAUCUCCGCAGGGUAAUUUGGAAUUAUAUUACAGCGGUACAAGUUGCCGAACUUCCUCACCCGCAGAGAUAUCGUGAUCUUCUCGGAAAACUAACAUCUCGUGUUAGUUCAAGUAGCGACCCAUCUUUGCCAGUAGAAGGCGCGCCAAGAGCACGUGAAAGGCUGGUCAUGACACUCGCGGCAUUCACACCUCGAACACAGAAAAAGAUACUUGUUAACGUUCAAGCGGUUCAGAUAUUGAUCAACUUUCGCGCGACACAAACGUUGUUCAAACUUGGAACGCUACAGGCAUUUUUCAACUCUGUUACGAGCAAACUUAUACAUAUUCAUUGAAGACAUACGAAA